CGCGAAGAACCUUACCUGGCCUUGACAUGCAUGUGGUAGAACCAUGAAAGUGGGACGACCCCGCAAGGGGAGCAUGCACAGGUGCUGCAUGGCUGUCGUCAGCUCGUGUCGUGAGAUGUUGGGUUAAGUCCCGCAACGAGCGUAACCCCUAUGUCCUGUUGCCACUCAAACGAGAGUUUGGAGCACUCUGGACAGACUGCCUCGCUUAAACGGGGAGGAAGGUGGGGAUGACGUCAAGUCAGUAUGGCCCUUACGGCCAGGGCUGCACACGUACUACAAUGCCCGGCACAAAGGGAAGCAAGACCGUCGGGUGGAGCAAAUCCCAGAAAACCGGGCCCAGUUCAGAUUGCUGUCUGCAACUCGACAGCAUGAAGUUGGAAUCGCUAGUAAUGGCGCAUCAG
rnacentral:rRNA from 1 species